AGCUUUGUGCAGUGGCAGUAUCAUAGCCAAUGAGGUUUAUCCGAGGCAUGAUUACUGCUAAUUGAGAAU
rnacentral:snRNA from 1 species